rnacentral:rRNA from 1 species
GGGUGCGUAACGCGUAUAGAACCUACCUUUUACAGAGGAAUAGCCUUUAGAAAUGAAGAUUAAUGCCUCAUGGUAUUGUAGACUGGCAUCAGUUUAUAAUUAAAGAUUUAUCGGUAAAAGAUGGCUAUGCGUCCUAUUAGUUAGUUGGUAAGGUAACGGCUUACCAAGACAGCGAUAGGUAGGGGUCCUGAGAGGGAGAUCCCCCACACUGGUACUGAGACACGGACCAGACUCCUACGGGAGGCAGCAGUGAGGAAUAUUGGACAAUGGAGGAGACUCUGAUCCAGCCAUGCCGCGUGUAGGAAGAAUGCCCUAUGGGUUGUAAACUACUUUUAUACAGGAAGAAACACUGGUAUGUAUACCAGCUUGACGGUACUGUAAGAAUA